ACUCAAAGGAAUUGACGGGGGCCCGCACAAGCGGUGGAGUAUGUGGUUUAAUUCGAUGCAACGCGAAGAACCUUACCUGGCCUUGACAUGUCUGGAAUCCUGCAGAGAUGCGGGAGUGCCUUCGGGAAUCAGAACACAGGUGCUGCAUGGCUGUCGUCAGCUCGUGUCGUGAGAUGUUGGGUUAAGUCCCGCAACGAGCGCAACCCUUGUCCUUAGUUGCCAGCACGUAAUGGUGGGAACUCUAAGGAGACUGCCGGUGACAAACCGGAGGAAGGUGGGGAUGACGUCAAGUCCUCAUGGCCCUUACGGCCAGGGCUACACACGUACUACAAUGGUCGGUACAGAGGGUUGCAAUACCGCGAGGUGGAGCCAAUCCCAGAAAGCCGAUCCCAGUCCGGAUCGGAGUCUGCAACUCGACUCCGUGAAGUCGGAAUCGCUAGUAAUCGCGGAUCAGCUAUGCCGCGGUGAAUACGUUCCCGGGCCUUGUACACACCGCCCGUCACACCAUGGGAGUGAGUUGCUCCA
rnacentral:rRNA from 1 species